rnacentral:lncRNA from 1 species
AUGAUACUCUUAAAAAUGAGAUUCUUUUUUGUAAUUAUAUUUUGUUAUUAUUAUUACUACAUAUUUAUAAGAAAUUAUUUUUUUAACAAUUAUCCCUAUGUUAAUAUAUUUGUAAGUGCAUAUAAAAACUCUAAUUCCAAUGUGCAUUAUUUGUUUUUGUUUAAUCCUAUGAUGAAGAAUAACCAUGAUACAGUUGGUAUGCAUAGGAAUAAUAACUAUAAUAGUCAGAUAAAAAGAAGGAAAAACAAAAUAAAAGUUUUUAAUUCGUUAAUAAGUGAAGAAGCGAAUAACAUUACCAUUGAAAAAGCCAAAACCUCAAACAAAUAUAAUGAAGAAAAAUAUAAUUUAAUAAAAGAUUUAAAAAGAUAUUGUGAAUGUACUAAAAAAUAUAAAAGAUUACCUACACGUGAAGUAAAAGUUGGUAAUGUUAAAAUUGGAGGAAAUAAUAAAAUAGCAAUUCAAACUAUGACUACUUGUAAUACUAAAAAUGUAGAUGACUGUGUUGAUCAAAUUAAAAAAUGUAAAGAGCUAGGAACUGACCUUGUUAGAUUAACUGUUCAAGGUGUUUUAGAAGCUGAAGCUAGUUACAAAAUUAAAGAAAAGUUAUUAACUCAAAAUAUUGACAUAGCUUUAGUAGCUGAUAUUCAUUUUAAUCCAAAAAUUGCAUUAAUGGCAGCAGAUGUAUAUGAUAAAAUUCGAGUAAAUCCAGGAAAUUAUGUAGAUGGAAGAAAAAAAUGGGAAGAUAAAGUAUAUAAAACAAAAGAAGAAUUUGAUGAAGGAAAAUUAUAUAUAAAGGAAAAAUUUAUGCCAUUAAUAGAAAAAUGUAAAAGAUUAAAUAAAGCUAUAAGAAUAGGUACAAAUCAUGGUUCUUUAUCAAGUAGAAUAUUUUCUUAUUAUGGUGAUACACCUUUAGGUAUGGUUGAAUCUGCUUUUGAAUUUGCAGAUUUGUGUUUGGAGAAUAAUUUUUAUGAUGUCAUUUUUUCUAUGAAAGCAUCCAAUGUUUAUGUAAUGAUACAAUCUUAUAGGUUAUUGGUACAUAAACAAUACGAACGGUUUAAAGCUAGGAAUAGUAAUUACAUAAGUGGAAUAAACAAAAACCAAUCGGAUAAUAAUAAUAUGUUUUUUCCUUUACAUUUAGGUGUAACA